rnacentral:rRNA from 1 species
GACGAACGCUGGCGGCGUGCCUAAUACAUGCAAGUUGAGCGCUGAAGGUUGGUACUUGUACCGACUGGAUGAGCAGCGAACGGGUGAGUAACGCGUGGGGAAUCUGCCUUUGAGCGGGGGACAACAUUUGGAAACGAAUGCUAAUACCGCAUAAAAACUUUAAACACAAGUUUUAAGUUUGAAAGAUGCAAUUGCAUCACUCAAAGAUGAUCCCGCGUUGUAUCAGCUAGUUGGUGAGGUAAAGGCUCACCAAGGCGAUGAUACAUAGCCGACCUGAGAGGGUGAGCGGCCGCAUUGGGACUGAGACCCGGCCCAAACGCCUACGGGAGGCAGCAGGAGGGAAUCGUCGGCAAUGGACGAAAGUCUGACCGAGCAACGCCGCGGGAGGGAAGAAGGUUUUCGGAUCGUAAAACUCUGUUGGUAGAGAAGAACGUUGGUGAGAGUGGAAAGCUCAUCAAGUGACGGUAACUACCCAGAAAGGGACGGCUAACUACGUG